rnacentral:rRNA from 1 species
UGGGGAAUAUUGGACAAUGGGCGAAAGCCUGAUCCAGCCAUGCCGCGUGAGUGAUGAAGGCCCUAGGGUUGUAAAGCUCUUUUGUGCGGGAAGAUAAUGACGGUACCGCAAGAAUAAGCCCCGGCUGACUUCGUGCCAGCAGCCGCGGUAAUACGAAGGGGGCUAGCGUUGCUCGGAAUCACUGGGCGUAAAGGGUGCGUAGGCGGGUCUUUAAGUCAGGGGUGAAAUCCUGGAGCUCAACUCCAGAACUGCCUUUGAUACUGAAGAUCUUGAGUUCGGGAGAGGUGAGUGGAACUGCGAGUGUAGAGGUGAAAUUCGUAGAUAUUCGCAAGAACACCAGGGGCGAAGGCGGCUCACUGGCCCGAUACUGACGCUGAGGCACGAAAGCGUGGGGAGCAAACAGG